rnacentral:rRNA from 1 species
AUUGAACGCUGGCGGCAGGCCUAACACAUGCAAGUCGAACGGUAGCAGGAAGAAGCUUGCUUCUUUGCUGACGAGUGGCGGACGGGUGAGUAAUGUCUGGGAAACUGCCUGAUGGAGGGGGAUAACUACUGGAAACGGUAGCUAAUACCGCAUAACGUCGCAAGACCAAAGAGGGGGACCUUCGGGCCUCUUGCCAUCAGAUGUGCCCAGAUGGGAUUAGCUAGUAGGUGGGGUAACGGCUCACCUAGGCGACGGUCCCUAGCUGGUCUGAGGGGAUAACCAGCGACACUGGAGCUGAGACACGGACCAGACUCCUACGGGGGGCAGCAGUGGGGAAUAUUGCAUGAGGGGCGCAAGCCUGAUGCAGCCAUGCCGCGUGUGUGAAGAAGGCCUUCGGGUUGUAAAGCACUUUCCGCGGGGAGGGAGGGGGAAUGGUUAAUAACCAUUGCCAUUGACGUUACCCGCAGAAGAAGCACCGGCUAACUCCGAGCCAGCCGCCGCGGUAA